rnacentral:rRNA from 1 species
GAGCGAUGGAAGCUUGCUUCUAUCAAUCUUAGUGGCGAACGGGUGAGUAACGCGUAAUCAACCUGCCCUUCAGAGGGGGACAACAGUUGGAAACGACUGCUAAUACCGCAUACGAUCCAAUCUCGGCAUCGAGACUGGAUGAAAGGUGGCCUCUAUUUAUAAGCUAUCACUGAAGGAGGGGAUUGCGUCUGAUUAGCUAGUUGGAGGGGUAACGGCCCACCAAGGCGAUGAUCAGUAGCCGGUCUGAGAGGAUGAACGGCCACAUUGGGACUGAGACACGGCCCAGACUCCUACGGGAGGCAGCAGUGGGGAAUCUUCCGCAAUGGACGAAAGUCUGACUGAGCAACGCCGCGUGAGUGAUGACGGCCUUCGGGUUGUAAAGCUCUGUUAAUCGGGACGAAUGGUUCUUGUGCGAAUAGUGCGAGGAUUUGACGGUACCGGAAUAGAAAGCCACGGCUAACUACGUGCCAGCAGCCGCGGUAAUACGUAGGUGGCAAGCGUUGUCCGGAAUUAUUGGGCGUAAAGCGCGCGCAGGCGGAUUGGUCAGUCUGUCUUAAAAGUUCGGGGCUUAACCCCGUGAUGGGAUGGAAACUGCCAAUCUAGAGUAUCGGAGAGGAAAGUGGAAUUCCUAGUGUAGCGGUGAAAUGCGUAGAUAUUAGGAAGAACACCAGUGGCGAAGGCGACUUUCUGGACGAAAACUGACGCUGAGGCGCGAAAGCCAGGGGAGCGAACGGGAUUAGAUACCCCGGUAGUCCUGGCCGU